rnacentral:rRNA from 1 species
GACGAACGCUGGCGGCGUGCUUAACACAUGCAAGUCGAACGGAAAGGCCCUGCUUUUGUGGGGUGCUCGAGUGGCGAACGGGUGAGUAACACGUGAGUAACCUGCCCUUGACUUUGGGAUAACUUCAGGAAACUGGGGCUAAUACCGGAUAGGAGCUCCUGCUGCAUGGUGGGGGUUGGAAAGUUUCGGCGGUUGGGGAUGGACUCGCGGCUUAUCAGCUUGUUGGAGGGGUAGUGGCUUACCAAGGCUUUGACGGGUAGCCGGCCUGAGAGGGUGACCGGCCACAUUGGGACUGAGAUACGGCCCAGACUCCUACGGGAGGCAGAAGUGGGGAAUAUUGCACAAUGGGCGGAAGCCUGAUGCAGCAACGCCGCGUGCGGGAUGACGGCCUUAGGGUUGUAAACCGCUUUCGCCUGUGACGAAGCGUGAGUGACGGUAAUGGGUAAAGAAGCACCGGCUAACUACGUG